GGGGUUCUAGCUCAUCGGUAGAGCGCUCGCUUCGCAUUCCAACCGUGGAAAAGCCUGCGAGAGGCGGAGGGUUCGAUUCCCUCGUGCUCCA